GACGUCGCCCCUGAUGGAGCGGAAGUGGCUCAGAUUCAUCGUGGGGGAAUUAACCACUGGGCGGAGCUUCAAUGUUGACCUGUCUUGCGAUGAUAUCAUAACACUGCAAUGAGAGGACGGCGCCCUUCUGCAUCCCUGCUCGAGUGACCGACGCUGUAAAGUGGGCCAAAAGACAGUCAUGGGGAAUAAAAGGAGGAAGGAUGCCAAUUGAGCCCCUCAUCCCUUUAUCACCAGCAACAAGACCGCAGCCAGCAUCAAACUAAAGACACGGAGAGAAUGGCUCAGUCUGUGAGGAGGAUGGACAUUGUCGGGACCAUGGACUGCAAGCCUCAGAGGGACAAGAGCCGAACCGGCUACUUUGGCAAUGUUAAGUCCAGGCUGGGCUCCAAGCUGCCUCUCGGUGUGUCUCAGCCGCCACAGUUUGCUAAGCGGUCCUGGGACACUCAACCUCAGGCCCGAGGUUUACAGGAGCCUUUAGCCAGCAACCAACAGUAUUGUCAUCAUCAAUACCAACCCCCCCUUGGUCGACCUCUGGACCACAUCCCUCACAUCAGAAACCCUAUACUGCGACAGUAUUACCUGCAAGGAACCUCAUGGGAUGUGAACACUGCUGUGAAACAAGAGCACACGGGCCGACACGCAUCGCAUGAUGGCAAAAUCCGCACGGAUGAGUCAGUGUUCAGCAUCUCAUCGCGCUUCAGCAGCAGUGACACAGCUCCCCAUUCCUCGUCACAAUCAUCACCUUUGUGUGCUGCCUUGGUCCACACAGAGCAGCAGGUUGGAGCAGGAAAGGACACGUUUACUGAACAAGGAUCACUUCAAGAUCAUUGUAGACAGAAGAUGGAUGCAGAUUCUUUGGAUCUCAUCUCAGCUCCGGCUCAGUCACCCUUGCCAGAAGCAGAAUACGACAAACUACUGGAUGUGGAGGCGGUACCGAUGCCUGAUGGGCAGCUCUGCCUUUUGGCUCUUCCACCGGAAUGCUGUGAGGGGGAGGGGCCAGAUGCCACACCUUACCUAAAAUUGUUCUGCCGCCACAUCACUGACCGCAAGGGUGUGGUUUCUGGUAUCCUCCUGGUGACGACAAACAAGAUCUUCUUUGAUCCGUGCAAGACUCACUCCCUAGUGAAGGAACACGGCUGUGAGGAGUACCUCCUCUCAUGCUCCGUGGACAACCUGGCGUCGCUCUCCUUCUUCUCGGACAUCUCACACGUUCACUUCUCCCACUACUCCCAGCAGAGGAGAAGAGGGAAGAAAAUUUUCCAAAGGCUAAAAACUAGAAAGGGGGAAUCAGGUUCCGCUUUGACACUUGCAGCUUUGUCCAGUCUGAGUCUUAAAGAAGAGGCUGCGGGAAGUAAGACGACCACAAGGGUGUCGGAGGAGUUUGCUAGCAGCCAGAAUGAGGUGUUGUCAGAAGCAUCUGGAGGAGCUCUUGGCAUGGCGGCCACCUUCUGCUGUGGAGCUUCAGAUUUGACAAAUCAAGUCAAGAGUGUAGAGUCAGUGGAGAGUUCGACUACAGUGCCUGGAAGGUCGUCAGCAGGAAGUCCAGGAAGUGUCAUGUUUGUGCGUCUGCGGGUUCAGUCGCCUGCAGGAAAGACAAAAAGUGCAGGAGGCUUUCAGUUUGGGAUGAACCAAGCCACUGCAGCUAGAAGGGAAGCUUGGCUUGCCCUCUCACAAGAGAGCUCCGACGAGCUGUAUGCCUUCCUUACGCACCGGCGACCAGACUUGUGUCUACUCAAGGGCGGAGAAGUGGAAGGAGAUCGCCAAGAAGAGGAGUUCGUACUGGUGGAGGACAAAGACGAGGAGGUGGAGGAAGAAGAGGAGGAAGUGUCAGAGAAACAGCACAGCUCCGGGGAAGACUGGGAGAUGGUGUUGAUGGAGGACAGCGGUGGGGACAAGCCAGCCCUGCUCACUGCUGACAAGGACCCUGAAGGACUACAGAAUAUUGUAGAGAACAGCCACAUUUUGGAAGCUUCACAUGUCAGAGAGCUAUGCAAGGAGCUGCCCCCCAAGACGGUGGGUCAUACCUGGCAGCCGGCGUACAGCACGUCCCGCCACGGCGCCAGCCUCAAGUCCCUUUACCGAAAACUGAGCGCUACGGAUUCGCCGGCGCUCGUCGUCAUCAAGGAUGCGCUGGACGAGAUAUUCGGUGCAUUCCUGUCGCACCCGCUGAGGCUCAGCGAGGCGUUUUACGGCACGGGGGAAACCUUUCUCUUCAUGUUGCAUCCGCGAUUCAAGUGCUUCAGGUGGACUGGAGAGAACUCCUUUUUCAUUAAAGGGGACCUGGACUCCUUUGCCAUUGGUGGCGGGAGUGGUCACUUUGGUCUGUGGGUGGAUGAGAAUCUGUACCUGGGCCGCAGCAGCCCCUGUUACACCUUCAAUAACUGUUCCCUUUCGGAAACCGACGACUUCCGAAUCAUGGAGCUGGAAGUGUGGACGUUCAGCUGAGAGGGAGCCUCUGUGGCGUCGGACUGAACGAGCACGGCCGUGAUUCCACGCUGUACCGGUCAGGUCAGACUUGGACGAUUCGGACUUUGGAGCGCUCGCUGCCUGAAGGGACGUUUUAAUGGAGAUUGAACGUAAGCGGGCGUUUCCUCCAGGACGCUUCAUCAGCAACAUCAUCAUCAUCAUCAUCAUCAUCAGGCGCUGCCCGGCCCCAGGGAGAGCUUUCAGACAGAACCGUCACAAACGGCUGAGACGCGCCCCGGAGGAGGCUGGCCCGCCACUGGGUGACGCAGUAGGAAAGAUGGCGGAAUGGUGCGUGAGAUACACAGAAAAGGUCAUAGCUCCUCAUUUAUGUGUGCUUGUAUAAUAGUAAUAACCCAAAUGAAUAGCAGCUCUCCAUGCCUCUCCACUUAAGUCUUGGAGGCCUUCUCUUCCCUUAUCUCAGUUCAAUAGCCACAGGAAUGACACUCUACUGUGCCAGGUACUGCUUGGCCCUCUCCAGCCCCUCCUUCAGGAAGCUAAUGUAAGUGGACGUCGAGGGAUCUUCAAACCCUCCAGAGAAGCUGAAAGUGGUUCCCUCCCCCUCUUCAUCGGGCUUCAUGGCCGUCUGGUCCAGGAAGAAGUUAGCAUUGAUGUGAUGGACCUAAAGAAGCAGCAGAAAGGUAGAAGCAGCCUGACAUUUCCCUUCAGUCCUGAUGAGUCACCUUUAAAAUGCCAGCAAAUUUUCCAAGUGCGAAUAUCCUGGUGAAAAUAUACGUACAGUAUGUUAAGGAACGUAACCUCCUAAAACAUAACUCAAUAGCGCCCCCUGAAAACAGUACAAGGAAAAAGUAGAGUAAUCAUGGUUAAUUGAUUUCACGAAAUAGGAUAUCUUCUUCUCUGUAAAUGGGAUAUGUUUGUAGUUACGACAUUGAAAACCUGUUUACGAUUUUCUAAAUACGUUUUUUUAACAUUAUUAGAACUCUCUAAACGUGAAGUAACGCCACUAUAGUCACAUUUACAUCUGUAUUACCUAAGAUAGCAGAUAUAGAACCUACCAAAGGAAAGAUAACACUCCCGUCUUUCAUCAGAAAAAAAGUUUGUUUCUGCCUUUUUUUCGUUUCUGAGUAAUCAGCAGUAGAUCACAGGAACGUUUCAGGAAAAUAUCAGUUCCCAAUAAAAGGAAGGACAAAAACGGCUUUUUGUAGAAAGAUACAUUUCAAGCAUAACUUUGACGCAAAUAUUUUUUGCUUUUGUGACAACUAAAAUAUCUCAACAAUUAUACCACAACUUAUUUAUUUUACAUCAAAAUAAUAAGAAUUUUAACAUUUGGAACUAAACCAUGUGAGUAGGAAUUGAACUGUGUGUGUGCAUGUGUGUGUGUGUGCACGUGUGCGUUCGUGUGUGCAUGCCUUAAAAUUUCCUGACAAUGUGCAGUACUGCAAUGUAACAGCUGCCUUUAUGCAAGGGCUUCCUCUUCCUGUCAUGUGUUUCUCCUUCCUCCCGUGAUGCACUUCUGCCACCUAGUGGCCGUUUUGAUGGCGUUAAAAUUGCUCUCAAGCCAAAACAAUUGGUGAGGAGUUGCAUCACCAUCUCCUUUAGCCUUGUUUGCUGGGAUCGGAUGUUCAGGUUUAGAAACACGUAAAACUACGUCUUUGGUAUUGAAUGAGUUAUUAUUAUUAUGUUAUUACUGUGCCUGUUGUGAGAUGAUUUAAACCUGCAAUAAAAGUCUGCUUGACUGACACCUUGUGACCAAUGUAGUUUACUACAUUCACAAUUAGAUUGGGUCUUCUUAAUGGCUUAUAUUUGUAUUUUAGUUCAUUUAGUCAUGUUUAUGCUUGAAAAAAUAUGUACAAUUUGCUUAAAUAUGCUUUUUUUUUUAAAUAAUGGGCUGUAUUCAGCCACAAAACAUUAUUUAUUAAUAAUAAUUAAUAAUAUAUUUACUUAUAUGUGUUUAUUAAUGUACUGUAUGUUUGAAAAACCGUGGUAGAGCGAGGCCGCAAAAUUUGAACUGCAAUGCAGCAAGGAACGACUUUAUUCUGCAGUCUGGAGAAGCCACGCCUGCAAACACACAGGAAGUCGGCCAUUUGGUUUAGCAGAUGCCAUGUUGAACGUUGUUUCGAUCAAUUCCGGGCCUAGGUGCCCAGAUUUGAACCACGUACAUGUGACACGUGUGGCGAUACUAAAUUGUGAAAUGACUUUUCGCCGUGGAGUGUGGUGACAAUUUGCCUCGCUAAAAACGACAAAAGAAACCCGCAUAAAACUCAAAUAAGUCAGCCCCGUGCGGUCAGCUCUAAACCGAACGUCUCGUAUGCGAUGACGGCCCUGCCCUGGAGAGAUUCAUGUGCCCCAAGUGCCAACUAGUGGUGACAGGAAAUGUCUAAAAAUGACUUGUCCUCCAAGGUUCGACUUACAAUAGUUCCAUUUGGCAGUGCAACCAUCAUCUCCACAGGGAACGUGUACUUCUCAAGGUGCAAGCGAGCUUUUUCACUCAGUGCAGAGCGACGCUCAUCAGCCUGGAUCGGAGAAGCAAACGCACUGAAUUAAAUGCAGUGAAGACGUGGCUUUAUUCAAAUCAUCUGCUUUCUUCUCCCGGCUGUAUUCCCACCUGCAUGUUCUCCAGCUCUUUGACCAGAGACCAGCUGCUCACAAAGCUCCGGUUGAGCAGAGCCAGUACGGGCGAACUUUCCAGGACUGUCUCCCGGAGAGUUCGCCCGGAACCUGCAAGACGAAAGAGACGCACGUCAGAGAUCCGUCAGCUAGCCAACUGCACUUCUCUAAAACUGAAUUCUCAAAGAGACUGUUGCUGAGUUGACAUCACAGCAUAUCGUCGUAAUCCCCAGAUAUCAGCAGUUCAGAUGCUCCUCAACCUCCAAGCUAUUUCAUGGAUUUUUUUUCCAUAGAACAUUUCUCAAAGAAGGCAAAUCGUCUGUUCCAGGGUUAAACAGUUGCCACCUUUCUAAAAUUAUACAGGAACUUUUUUUUUUUUAAUGGUCAUACAUGUGGAAAAAGAAGUUAACACUUGAGGUCAUGACGGACACCGCUUUGAAUACAAUUCCGAUUGCUUCACAUGACGUCACAUGUACAGUGACAGGCAAAAGUAUGGCGACACUUAAGCAUGUUACUCAAUGACAAGGUGUGUCCAAACCUUUGACUGCUACUGUGUAUUCCUGCUGUGCAAAAAUAACGCCUCAGAAGCCGAAGACAAAGCCAAACCCGCGCCCAGAAUGCUUGCUGAGGUCUCGCACGACAUCCUAAACGACUGACUUGAAAGUCUCUGCUUUAGAGGUAUACUGUCUCAAUAAACUGAAUAUCUUGCAAAAUUAUUGCAAAAAAGUGAAACUUAUCAAAAAACGUUGGCAUGAUAUUCUCAUUUGUGGAGAUGCGCGUGUAUUUUGGUUAAAUUCUGUUCUACUACGGGCUGUUAGCAGGAUAGGAAUGACAUCCGAGCAUUCGUGUUUCUGGCAAUGCCGUGUUUUUAUGCAGUACCCUCACCUCAGCAGGACUGGUCAUCUAAUGCUCCCCAAAGCAGAAUUGAGUGCACCAACUUGUUCUCUGCCUCGGCUCGCUGGAAGGCCUCAGAAAAAGGCAAGUAGGAUACCUGUGGACACGGUGGGAAAACUGAUCAGGUCUGUAGCAUGUUGAGUGGAGCUCAUGUACGCAACAUUGUAUUUACCUUCUUGAAGGGGUAAAGGGUGACCUCCAGGCGACGUGCGGCUUCUGGACGAUUGAUCUCUGUGGUCCAGAUAAUGUCCUCAAAGACGAACUGGAUGGGUUCAGUGUUGCCGCCUCGGCUGUCGAUGAUGUUGCCCUCCUCGUCCGUGAUGAUGGAGGGAGUCGACGGGCCAGUGGACUGCAGCUCCAGCUGGAACACACAGGGGGGAGGAAGACCCUGAACUGGCUAGCGAAGAAGGACGAGGAAGGCACGGUUGGACUCUUCCAUGAGCGCAGACCACUCAGGCAGCUGUGAGAGACCUGCAAGAACAUACAUGCUCCUUGUAAACAAACCUUCACACGUCAAGGACCCUGCUUCUUUAAUUUAU